GGAUAGCUCAAUUGGUUAGCAUAGUGCUGAUAAUGCCAAGGUUGCAGGUUCGAUCCCCGUGAGGAACA